GCCGUGGCUCAGCGGUAGAGCAUCUGCUUGGGAUUCAGGAGGUCCCAGGUUCAAUCCCUGGCAUCUCCA